rnacentral:rRNA from 1 species
ACAACAAAGAGUCCCUCCCGACUGUUUACCAAAAACACAGCACUCUGCUAACUCGUAAGAGGAUGUAUAGGGUGUGACGCCUGCCCGGUGCUCGAAGGUUAAUUGAUGGGGUUAGCAUUAGCGAAGCUCUUGAUCGAAGCCCGAGUAAACGGCGGCCGUAACUAUAACGGUCCUAAGGUAGCGAAAUUCCUUGUCGGUUAAAUACCGACCUGCAUGAAUGGCGUAACGAGAUGGGAGCUGUCUCAAAGAGGGAUCCAGUGAAAUUGUAGUGGAGGUGAAAAUUCCUCCUACCCGCGGCAAGACGGAAAGACCCCGUGGACCUUUACUACAGCUUGACACUGCUAUUUGGAUAAGAAUGUGCAGGAUAGGUGGGAGGCUUUGAGUAUAUGACGCCAGUUGUAUAUGAGCCAUUGUUGAGAUACCACUCUUUCUUAUUUGGGUAGCUAACCAGCUUGAGUUAUCCUCAAGUGGGACAAUGUCUGGUGGGUAGUUUGACUGGGGCGGUCGCCUCCCAAAUAAUAACGGAGGCUUACAAAGGUUGGCUCAUAGCGGUUGGAAAUCGCUAGUAGAGUAUAAAGGUAUAAGCCAGCUUAACUGCAAGACAUACAAGUCAAGCAGAGACGAAAGUCGGUCUUAGUGAUCCGGUGGUUCUGUGUGGAAGGGCCAUCGCUCAAAGGAUAAAAGGUACCCCGGGGAUAACAGGCUGAUCUCCCCCAAGAGCUCACAUCGACGGGGAGGUUUGGCACCUCGAUGUCGGCUCAUCGCAUCCUGGGGCUGGAGCAGGUCCCAAGGGUAUGGCUGUUCGCCAUUUAAAGCGGUACGCGAGCUGGGUUCAGAACGUCGUGAGACAGUUCGGUCCCUAUCUGCCGUGGGCGUAAGAAGAUUGAAGAGAUUUGACCCUAGUACGAGAGGACCGGGUUGAACAAACCACUGGUGUAGCUGUUGUUCUGCCAAGAGCAUCGCAGCGUAGCUAAGUUUGGAAAGGAUAAACGCUGAAAGCAUCUAAGCGUGAAGCCAACUCUAAGAUGAAUCUUCUCUAAGCUCUCUAGAAGACUACUAGUUUGAUAGGCUGGGUGUGUAAUGGAUGAAAGUCCUUUAGCUGACCAGUACUAAUAGAGCGUUUGGCUUAUCUUAUAAA